GUCCUCCUGACCGGAAAUUAGUUUUGUUUUCCUUCGUCGGUCCCCUGGCGUCCACAUCUCCCCCUCCUCACUUGCUCCCCUGCUGCUGAGAGUGAGAAAAACCCUCGCUCCUUCCUUUCCCUCCUCUCCUCGUCCUCGUCGGCAUCGCCCGCUGUCAUUCGCGGAGGCGGAGGCCCUCGUUGUCGCGCUACCACAUAACCGGCCGCCGACGAUUAGACAGUACCAAGCUCAUGCUCUCCUGCCUGUCAUGAUGAUCUGUGGGUCCAGGAAAGAGGCAACAUGGUUAUGCACAGCUAGGUGAUUGUCGUGAGGGGCAAGGGAUGAGUAUGUUUUGCCGAUGGAUUCUGUUGCCACAGACGAGAAAGACUGAGCAUGAGGACGGCGUGGGAUUGCCGGAGCGUCUGGAAUUGGCAUUUCAGAGUUUCUUUUGGUUUUUACUUCAUCCUAAUUUUGCAGAGUCUGGAUGUAUGCUCAUUGUGUUUAUAUCCUUUUGAUGCUUUAUUUUGAGUUAAAUUCACCAUUUGUCAGAAAACAACAAAUGGAGGAGAAGAAAAGGAGAAACAUAUGAACUUGCAGAGCUUACAAAACAUAUGUGGACAUUUAAUCUUUACGAAGAAUGAAAGACUAGCUCAUUAAAAAGAGAU